rnacentral:ribozyme from 1 species
GGGGCUUAGUCCCCCGCCUUAAUGCGGCUCCAUACGGAACGGUUGCAAGCCCGAUAACGCAGAGCAAGGA